UGGCGGACGGGUGAGUAAUGCUUAGGAAUCUGCCUAUUAGUGGGGGACAACAUUCCGAAAGGAAUGCUAAUACCGCAUACGCCCUACGGGGGAAAGCAGGGGAUCUUCGGACCUUGCGCUAAUAGAUGAGCCUAAGUCGGAUUAGCUAGUUGGUGGGGUAAAGGCCUACCAAGGCGACGAUCUGUAGCGGGUCUGAGAGGAUGAUCCGCCACACUGGGACUGAGACACGGCCCAGACUCCUACGGGAGGCAGCAGUGGGGAAUAUUGGACAAUGGGCGGAAGCCUGAUCCAGCCAUGCCGCGUGUGUGAAGAAGGCCUUUUGGUUGUAAAGCACUUUAAGCGAGGAGGAGGCUCCUUUAGUUAAUACCUAAAGUGAGUGGACGUUACUCGCAGAAUAAGCACCGGCUAACUCUGUGCCAGCAGCCGCGGUAAUACAGAGGGUGCGAGCGUUAAUCGGAUUUACUGGGCGUAAAGCGUGCGUAGGCGGCUUUUUAAGUCGGAUGUGAAAUCCCUGAGCUUAACUUAGGAAUUGCAUUCGAUACUGGAAAGCUAGAGUAUGGGAGAGGAUGGUAGAAUUCCAGGUGUAGCGGUGAAAUGCGUAGAGAUCUGGAGGAAUACCGAUGGCGAAGGCAGCCAUCUGGCCUAAUACUGACGCUGAGGUACGAAAGCAUGGGGAGCAAACAGGAUUAGAUACCCUGGUAGUCCAUGCCGUAAACGAUGUCUACUAGCCGUUGGGGCCUUUGAGGCUUUAGUGGCGCAGCUAACGCGAUAAGUAGACCGC
rnacentral:rRNA from 1 species